UACGGAGGGGGCGAGCGUUGUCCGAAGUUACUGGGCGUAAAGCGCGCGUAGGCGGGUCGAAAAGUCCGCUGUGAAAGCCCGAGGCUUAACCUCGGCGGGUCGGUGGAUACUGUCGGUCUUGAAGGUGCUAGGGGGAGAUGGAAUUCCUGGUGUAGCGGUGAAAUGCGCAGAUAUCAGGAGGAACACCGGUGGCGAAGGCGCCACUCUGGGCCGAAACUGACGCUGAGGAGCGAAAGCGUGGGUAGCAAACAGG
rnacentral:rRNA from 1 species